ensembl:ncRNA F26F12.12 ncRNA
AUAAAUCGAUGGCAUCAGAAAAAAGAGCAAAAAGUGAAUUUCAAGAUGCACAUCACACAGUGCGGAGGUUUUCCGCGCGCUGGACGAGUUGCUUGCUCUUGAGUGGGGGCGACAGAGCCUUCAACAAUGGAACGGAAUA